rnacentral:rRNA from 1 species
CAGUCGCCGCGGGAAUACGAAGGGGGCUAGCGUUGUUCGGAUUUACUGGGCGUAAAGGGCGCGUAGGCGGGCGAAUAAGUCAGGGGUGAAAUCCCAAGGCUCAACCUUGGAACUGCCUUUGAUACUGUUUGUCUUGAGUUCGAGAGAGGUAAGUGGAACUGCGAGUGUAGAGGUGAAAUUCGUAGAUAUUCGCAAGAACACCAGUGGCGAAGGCGGCUUACUGGCUCGAAACUGACGCUGAGGCGCGAAAGCGUGGGGAGCAAACAGGAUUAGAUACCCGCGUAGUCCCUGUCUCUUAUAC